ACCGUUCCUUUGCACUGGAAAAAGGAGAAUCAAGCAGACCAUUGUAAGGAUGUCUCUGAAAUCUAAUACAGGAGGUGACCUCGAUGACCCAGUGGAAAAGGAACAGAUGUUGGAGCAGAUCAGAAAGGAGAUUGCUAAGAAUGGGAACUUCAUCCAAGACUUGCGAUGGAGAGAACUGCCUAACAGAGAUGUUUUUCGCAAAAUAGUUGAACUUGGAAGCCCUGAAGAAGGUCACUGUGGUUCUGGAUGAAGAGGACCAGCCAUGAUGUUGCAACAGGAGAGGGAUGGAAGUUUACUGUAAAUAACCCUAGUACCUCAUAAUAUAUGACCGUAUAUCAAUAACAUUAUCUUAGAUCAUGGACAGUGUUUUGUCUUGAAUGAUAGAUAGCUUUAUGCUCAUGAAUGAAAAAUCUGAUGUCAAGUUAUUAGGCUAGAUUUAAACUCUACAAUGUUUUACUUUUGUAAUGCAA
ensembl:lncRNA